rnacentral:rRNA from 1 species
CAGUCGCCGCGGGAAUACGUAGGUGGCAAGCGUUGUCCGGAAUUAUUGGGCGUAAAGGGCUCGCAGGCGGUUUCUUAAGUCUGAUGUGAAAGCCCCCGGCUCAACCGGGGAGGGUCAUUGGAAACUGGGAAACUUGAGUGCAGAAGAGGAGAGUGGAAUUCCACGUGUAGCGGUGAAAUGCGUAGAGAUGUGGAGGAACACCAGUGGCGAAGGCGGCUCUCUGGUCUGUAACUGACGCUGAGGAGCGAAAGCGUGGGGAGCGAACAGGAUUAGAUACCCCAGUAGUCCCUGUCUCUUAUAC